CUGGGAUGUACUGUCCAACGAGCAGGUGGCAUGGCUGGUGCGGAGCUUCCUCCCUGGGAACCAAGAGGACCCACACAGGUUCUCAAAGCUGGCCCAGAUGCUGAUACACAGCACACAGGGAAAGGAAGACAGUCUCACAGAGGAAGGGCAGGUGUCCUACGAUGACGUCUCUGUGUUCGUGAUUCCCUUGCACAGUCAGGGCCAAGAGAGCAGUGACCACUGAGGAUUCAGACACUGUAUCCCAGAACUGCUCUAGUGCCCGGGUGUGGUCUGGGCAUCCCUCCAGUGUGACCAAGAGCAAAUCCUGCCUGCCCUAUCCCUAGCCACCGCCCAGUGCUCUCACUAUCCACCUCAACACACAUCCAUCUCAAGAGGAACAUUUAUACCAGGCAGUCAGAGCUGGAAGUGUAUGGAGAGCCCAGCCCACCAGGUCCUGCCUUUUGCGGUGAUAACCUUCUCUGGCAGAGUGACUUUACAACUUAACUAGGAAACCCAUGUGAGGCUCCUCAGACAGGAUCUUGAACAGCCCAAAGUAUCAUUCUCAGAUAGGGGCACCCAAGCUAAGGGUAUUAGCCAAAGAUGCCAGGAUGGGUAGCUAGCCCAUGUUUAGAUCCAGGUCUCCAAUUCAUGGUUAUCAGGGCAUGUGUUCAACAACCCCCAAAGUCCACGCAGGUGGCUUGUAGAAACCUUUGGGCAGCCUCAUGUCUGCUAAAACAGCCAUCUUCAAGACAGCCCCUGAAAAGAGACCAGUUCAGGUCCUGCCCUGCUGUUCUUUGCUGGAGAUGAGGAACAGGUGCUGGGGCUAAAGUUUGGGGUAGAGCACAAGGGACAAGAGGAACUCUUGGAGUUGGCUGGGUGAGAGGGCUCUCCAUUUGCUACCUGUAGUAGCCUGCCUCUUAACUGGUUGCUUCUCCCUAGUUCCAGCCCUGCCCUGGUCUGAUGCCCCAACACUGCCCUUGCUUUGUUUUCCCUGUCACCUCCCUAUUAUUAAAUGUUUUCUACAGAAG
rnacentral:lncRNA from 1 species